UACAGAGGUCUCAAGCGUUGUUCGGAUUCAUUGGGCGUAAAGGGUGCGUAGGCGGCGCGGUAAGUCGGGUGUGAAAUCUUGGAGCUUAACUCCGAAACUGCAUUCGAUACUGCCGUGCUUGAGGACUGGAGAGGAGACUGGAAUUCCCGGUGUAGCGGUGAAAUGUGUAGAGAUCGGGAGGAACACCGGUGGCGAAGGCGGGUCUCUGGGCAUUUCCUGACGCUGAGGCGCGAAAGCGUGGGGAGCAAACGGG
rnacentral:rRNA from 1 species